ensembl:lncRNA
GAAAAAGCAGCUCCAAGGAGACCUUAUAGUGGCCUUCCAGUACUUAAAGCAUUGUCUUAACACAAGAACUAGAAAAGGAAACGUUCAAAUACAUACCCUGGGUGAACCUAACAGGAUGCAAGAGGCCAUCUGAGCUGCACUUUUCAAACCCACAGGAAACCCUCCUCUACUAUGUCCCGAGAACAAAGCCUCCUCCAGUCAUGUUGAUAAGAUGGAUCUUGUUGUACAGCCUUCUAGUAAGGCUGGCUCAGAGCAACAAUCAAGAUUCUGAAAAGUCUGAAAACAUCACCACACCUUCAUCAAAAAUUUUAGAUGCCUCUACUAAGUCAAAAGAACAUGGAAAACACAAGACAUUGCACAUUAUUUAUGCUUCAGUACCCGUGGGUCUAUGUUGUCCAUUCAUCUUCAUAUGCGUGUUUUGGAGUCUAAGGAGGUACUAUGGAAAGCGUAAGAGAACUCCAUCAGCACCACAGAGACAAGAGAGCCGGGUCAGAAGGCUAUCAGCUCUUCCAUCCCACGCUGAUGGGACAACUCCAGAUACAGAUGAAAGCUCCUCACUUUACUGUUCCAUGUCUAGCCCACCUCAGCUCUUGCCUGUCAACAAGAUUUAUGACAGUGUUCCUCAACGUAAUGCUCAGGAGACAGCAUCUAACUCACCUUCUAAUGAUCCUUCCAUCCCAGCUUCACCUGAAAGCCAAGAUGUCCUCAUAUAUGCCUCACUAAACCAUUCUGCUUCUACAAAUAAAUACCAGAGAAGGAAGUUCUCUAUAGAAAAUGAAUUUAUAGAAUAUGCCUCUAUUAAGGUAAAUAAAUAAAUACGGCAGACUUCACCAAACAGCCAUUUUGUGUGUAUUCUCAGGUUUAUCUUCCAUCCAGAAUACCUUUCCUUUCUCUCCCGGGAAAGCUUUCCUUUUGUUUAGAAGAACCUGUGGAUGCUCCCCCACUACAGACAGGAAUUCAAAACACAGCCUGUGUCAUGCAGAUGGGUGGGUAAUUGCACUGGAUAUUCGUCUCUUAAAUGGAGGAAUAAAAGGAAACACAGACAGCUUUCCUGUUCUUCCUCUGCCCAGGAUUCUGCUUCCAGUCUGACCUUUUGUUGUGGUUUAAACAGAGGCAAAGGGGAGGAGAAGGGAGGGCAUUCUCAGGUCAUAAACAUAUAAAAGGAAUCCAUGAGGAAGACGAUACUGAGCCAAAUUAAUUCCUCCAAAGUAUAAAUAUGCUAAAUAUAAACAUACUAAAUAUGCCCGGGGGAGAAAUUUUCUCUGAGGUUCUAAGAACACCCUUACCAGGAUUCUGUUUCUCAUUCCAGUUCAUCUCCUUGCAGAGUUCCUUGAACACCAUGAACGCACAAUCCUUGUAUUAACUAAAAUCAUGUAAAUACUUUCAUUUGUUUGCUUCUUGUGGGGAACAGGCAAGAAAAUGGAAAAGGUUGUUUUCCUUUUAUUAAGAAGUCACACAAAUAACGUGUGAGAGUGUUCUCUUUUUUCCUCCUGGUGUGAUGACCGGUUAGCUAAGUUAAUGCAUAUUCCUUUUGUCCAUGAUGAGUCCAUGGAAAUAACAAAUGCUGAGCAGUGACUGAUCACAGACUGAAUAAAAACAUUCUGUUCAUGAGUAGCUGUGCACAACUGCGCCAGGCCAAGCUUUCCUCCCAACACUAGCACAAGAACAUGAUUAUGCUUCGUGCUCAGGUUUGUGGAAAAGAAGAUAAAAAGGAGGUAAGGACCAAAGUGUCAUUUGAACUUUGAGGAGAAUGCCUGUGCCCUUCUUCUGCUGCACUUAUUUCAUUAUAGUUUGGAUACUAUGCAUCUGCUCCUGCAGCGCAGUUGUCUGAAAAAUUACAUUUAGCAAUGUCUGCACCAAGAGGUUUGCAGAAGCAGAGAGUCUUCAACAUGGUUAAAAAUUCAGACUACAGUUGAAAAGGAAGAGUGGAAGUCCAGUUCUCAGCGUGCACAUAACGCACCAGAUGAUGUGCAGUUAAUGGAAGGAAGUCAAGCUUCUUCAUCUCUCACCCUUGCACAGUUCCAGUUAACACCAAAUUUUUUAUCAGAUACACAUUAACCCUGUCACGUUGAUAAAACAGAUCAUUUGUUAUGCUUGUGGCACAUCUAUCUUCCACCCAUCGUGCACUCUACCAUGGACUCUGCCCCAGAACAAUGCCCAUGUGAUUGACAGCCAAAGGAGGCCAAGCACAGCUGUGAGAAGUACUGCACAGCCACCAGCUGCAAUGCUAGAGAAAUCUGAACAUGCUGUGUUCCACUCUCAGAUCAAGGCCGAACCAUGGCUUAAGAAGGGGUCCCCAGAGAUCAAGG